GACCCAUUCCCUGGCAGAGUCCAGGAUGGAAGGGAAGCUGGCCGCCUGCUCCUUCCUCCGGAUCCCCGCCUCCAGGGACAGCCUGUGGCCUCUUUCUCGACUGCUAGCUUUGUAAACGGGGUUGUUUCAAGUGUUUUCUCAGCAUGUGUGUGACAACGUAGGGAAGUACAGAUGUCCUUUCAAAUGUGGGCCAAUUCUGUUCACUUGAGACAGAGAAUGGAGAAAGGACGAGCCGGAGAGGGAGCGGAUAGAGGUUUCCUAAUUUCAGUUUGGAUCUGCCAGUGCGAAGUGACUGGGCAUUUACGCAACAUAUUUAGUUGAGGUGGCCAUUCAUUAGAAGAAAAAAGAGAACAAAACUCAGGGGCCGACAGCGUUCGGAGACCAGGCAGGUACAGAGCCACCUUUCUUUAAACUUGCCACUUCAAAGUUCACCGCAUUAUUGCUGCCUUCAUUGUUGAUGAUGACAAUGGAGCAUGUAAAACUGGCUUUUCAAGAGACUAUACAUACUCUUCAUUUGGGGGAGUCCCAGCCACCAUGAUGUGGGAGUGGGUAUAAAGAAGAACAGCUAUGUGGAGGAUGAGACUCAGAACAGGAGAGGUAUUCUGACCCUGAAGUACUCCAAUGAACAUGGCACUUUCACCAGUAUGGACAACAUGGAGAUCUACCACCAUACUUUCUACAGUGAGCUCCUGAAGAGCCCCCUGGGUUAUUUACACAAGUUCCCCUGAAUUCCAAAGCCAGCAGGGGAAAAAACGACCUAAGUCAUGUCCUGAGCUUUCAAUGCCCCAACCAGAUAUGUGGUCAUCUAAGCUUUGUAUGUCUCCAGUUAUAGCACAUUGUGAUGGUAUGAGCCACACAGUACCCAACAAUGAAGGUUAUGUCUCCUUCCUUGCCAUCAUUAAUAAUCUGGAUCUAGCUGGCUAUGACCUGACAGAGGUCAUACCUCCUGAAGAUGCAGAUGGGGAGGGGCACUAAUUCACUCUCUGAGUUGAGAGAGAAGCUGAGCAGGAGGGAGACAUCAAGGAAAAGCUAUUUACAUCCCACUGAUUUUGAGCCUGAAAUGACUCUUGCAACAUCUGGCUCUUCUCUGAAAAAGUCUAGCAAGCUCCUCGAUCGGCACAUUAUCUCCACUGGCAGUGAGAGGUUCAGUGGCCAGACACUCUUCCAAUGAUGGGAUGCUGUGGAAUCCAUGAAACCCCAACACACUUAAACACACUUGCACGAGUACACACACACACACACACACACACACACACUUUGACUCAAUCAUGGAGUGCAAUUGUUGACAUCCCUGAGGCUCUACAUUCCAGUCUUGGAACUGUUUGGUGCUAUCACCAGGUCCUGAGGUGUUGCUGAGAGAAUGCAGGAGGCUACAGAACUAGCCCCAGCACAGUCAAAGUCAACAUCAUUGGUCAUCCCCACAUUAAAGCAUGCCCUCUGUGUGGGUUCGUGGCCUCUGUCCACCUUCCGGCAGAUAUGGAGCAGCAAGAAGGAGAAUAAGGAAUCUGGGCCUUCCUUGUCCACCAAAUGUUUCUAAAUGGAUUAUGGGGGGGGGUGAUUUUGUCAAAGACUAUGACAUAAUUGCCCCCCCCCAAAAAAGAAAAAGAAAUGAGAAGGGCAGCUGGGUGGCUCAGUGAAUUGAGAGCCAGGCCUAGAGAUGGGAAGUCCUGGGUUCAAAUCUGGCCUCAGAAACUUCCUAGCUGGGUGACCCUGGGCAAGUCACUUAACCCCCAUUGCCUAGCCCUUACUGCUCUUCUACCCUAGAACCAAUACACAAUAUUGAUUCUGAGACAGAAGGUAAGGGCUUAAAAAAAUUUUAAGAAAAAGAAAAAAAUGAGAUUGGAUGUGUAUGUGCUCAUGUGCUUUACUCAUGAUUUAAAAACUGGAAUGGUGAAGGUGAUAAGCAAUCUAAGUAUGUUAAAGACUAACAUACCCAGAGUUCUUCACUGUCUUCAAGACUGUUCAAGGUUUCCUUCAUGUAUUAUAUAAUGUCAUCUAUCAUGUGUGAAACUUUAUUGUAUAUUCUGUGCAUGUAUCUAUGUGUGCAUGCAUAAAUAUGCAAAUAUGUAUGUUGUGUGUGCAUGUGGGUUAUAUAUGGUGUGUAUAUAUGUGUCAUUUAUUGCAAAAUGCACUGGUAAAUGAAGGCUGUCCUGCUCUACCCAAAAGAAAGAGGUAGUAGAUUUACUUAUGUGCAAAUUUUACAAUUCUUUAAAGUACCAAGAACAUUUUCUAGCUUCCACUUUAACAUUUUUUCCUAUUAAAAAAAAAAGAUCAGAACUAUCACAGCCACCUCCCUUCUCUCCCUGCCCCCAACAUAGAUGUGAAUGGAGGCUUUUUACAAAUCUCAGCAGGAGUUCAAUGAAACUGGCGCCAGUACAUGGGGGAGGGAAGGCGCUUUACCUGUACCCAACUUGAGACCCCUUUAAAUAAAAGUGCAGAUGUUGAAGAGGAAAA